CACACGCAGUUGGAGGCACUUGCGCUCUGGAAUUGGCUCUCAGCGCCCGAACUAACCCACUCUCCCCAGUGCCCCAGUGUAUAAAGUGUAGGUGCUCACACAGCAACAGGUCACAGCCCCCAGGAACACUCGCUGGCAGGCCCAUCCACCACCAACUCGGCGCCAGCCCUGGGCUGGGAGACGUCACCCCAAGCAUUAGGUCCGCAGUUCCCCGCAGCCUCCUGGGCCCCCUUGUGCUCCUGAUAAGGGAGUGGGAGAGCUCUGUCCUGUCAGCGUGAUGGCAUGUCCUGGGACAGUGGCUGGGAAGGUGGACUGCAGGUGGGCCAGCUACAGACACACCAGGCAACAGGACCUGGAGACCCUGCUGGCCUUUGAGAGGGCUGAUAUCAUAGCCAAAUACCAUCAGCUGAGGGUCAGAAAAGGACCAUAGAUGCUAGAGCACCCACUAGAGGUGGGGACCACACCUGCAAGAGCAGGUGAGGCCCAAGAUGGGAUCAGAGCCAACCAUGAGCCAGGUCAGCCCAGACAAGGACCAUGGUCACCAGGAACAAGUGAGACCCUGGCGACGGACCCGCACAUCCAUAGAAGUGAGGGUCCAUCUUGGCACCUAGUGAUCCGUAGCCAAUGAGCCCAGGUGGGGACCAAGGUCACCAGGUCCAGGUGAGGCUCAGGUGGAGACCAGAGUCACCAGGUCAGGUCAGGCCCAGGUUGGGAUCAUCGCUGAUAGAAGCAUGUAAAGCUAUCAGGCUGCUCCCAUUGGGCAGAGGGGCCCUUCCCUCAUGCCCGGCCAAUCUCAGAGGGUCCUGAUCUGCCGCAGGAUUCAGGGGAGAGGAGCCAUUCUGCUCCCUCCUUUCCCCAUGUCCCUGGCGCUGAUCCAUCCCCACCAUGGGGUCCCCUCUGUUUCAGCAUGACAAGUACUGUCUCCACAGGACCUUGGGAUGAUGCUCCCCAAUCAUUGUUGAAGGUCACGGACAAUCAGAGCUUUCUGCAGUGAGUUCCCCGGACACCCCUUCGUCCAUCUCAGGAGGCAAUUUUUACUUGCAGGAACCACUCUCUGGAGGCUGGCCCAUCCCCCUGGGUCAGGACCUCGUCCCCUGGAGUCCUCUGAGGGCCAUGUGUACCCUGGACUGGAGCUGAGAGAAUCAGGAGGCAAACCCAAGAAAUGGGUACAAGGGAGCUGGGUCGGGGGCUGGCCCUGGGCACUCAGAGUGGCCCCCACUCCUGCUUUGGGGAGGGCCAGGUGUCUGCGUCCAGUUUGGGAGUUGGGAUAUCUCUUGUCCUUCAGCAAGGGCUCCAAAUGUGAGGCGCUCUGGGACAAUGGCCUGCUUUCUAUAGGAGGAUGGCCUGGUCUGGGGCCAGUAAGGGAGGGGGGAUGCUCCUCACUCACACCCCCAGGCCAGGGCCUCCACAGUCUGAAGGCUUCUGCAAGGUUGCAGGUAAAGGCCGGGGACAAAGCAAGGUCAGGGAGGGAAGGUGAGCAGCAGAGGAAGGGACUGACCAGCUUGGGCAGGAAGAGGGAAGAGGAGGUAGAGGAGGCCACCAUGGGUCGGGAACGAGGGAAGGAUGACAGCCCAGUGGCCUUGGUCUGAGGGGAGGAGGCUGCUGUGUCGUGGGCCCCAUAGGAACCUCACACAGCCUGGAGACUCCAUGUGGGGCCAACGGGGCUGCCCCCGGCCCCCUCAGCUCUGCUCUCUGCCCAGUGCCUGCUUGGAUGGGUCAGGGGUGGGUCAUGCUCAGGGCUCUGACAAUAGGUACAAUGGGUCAGAGUAGCAGAGAUGACAGCAAGAGGAGUGGAGUCAGUGGACAGCAGGUAGGAUGGCCAGGGUGCAGGGGGAGGCCGGCUGGAUGCCGGGCAGUCAGACCCUGGGAAAACAGGGGGGCCUCUGCUGAACAGUCCCUGUGCAGCAUCUUCCCACUCCUGGGUGCCCGAAUCCUGAAUCUACAACCCCAGCAAUUACCGUGCACACCCAUCACCCUCCGCGUGGCCAACACUCGCUGCCCCUGGGUGCUGGGGACUGGCCUUCCCCCUCAGUGGCCACUGCAGGAAGGAGGAUGCUGGGUCAGGCGGGCCUGGUCCUCAGCUCAGGGUUCCCACCUUGCAGGGUCUCUGUGAGGACGAGGGUCCCUGGACCCUGCCACACCUAGCCAGAACGGCAGUCCUGCUCUCUGGAAAGACGAGGUCCAUUCAGGGCUUAGAACGCUCUGGGCACACUGGGGUCAGGGCGUAGGGGAGGAGGCCCCUGCCAGGAAGCCCCCCCCUCGCCCGCCUGGUGCAUGAGGAGACCCUGAUCUUUGAGGGUAUGGGGCCUUCUCAGGCUUCUUCAUUCCAGGGUUCCGCAAACCACUGAGGUUCUAGUCCCAUCAGGAGCCCAUUCUAGACAUAGCUCACCCCAAGCUGAAAAAGCUCAUGGCGAUUAGAUACUCCCCAGAGGCUCCAUCCCCUUGGCCCUGGGCAACGGGUGCCAGCACAGCCCAUCUGAGCUGCCCCAAGCUUGGUGUCAAGUUCCUCCUCCUGGGGAGCCUGAGGCACCCUGGAGGCUGGGCGGGGCCAUGGGGAGUGUGUCCACCUGGCUCCACGGGGACGCAGCCUGGGGCCUGAGCACCUCCUGCCCUUCUGCCAGGAUGAGGAACAGAUUUUUCCUGGCAUUUACACCCCCAAGCAGUUCCUUCAGUUUUUCAUCAGUCAGGUAAGGCCACCCCAGGACCCCUGUUCCCUCAUCCUGUCCCCUAACCCCGUGGGGGCCGAGCUCAGCCCUACCCUCCAGACAAGCCAGGCCCAACCCUGGGGACCUAAGGCUGAGGCUGGCAGCCCAUCCCAUCUGGAGAAGUCCAGAGGGUCCCUGGGGGAGGUUCCAGGGGACAGGCUGUCUCUGCCUCAGAUUCCCCAGGGAGGCCUGGUCAGCUGCUGCAGGAGGGAAGCUCCACAGAGCCUAUGGAUUCACACCUGUGUCCUGGAACACUGUGGGCUCUGCUUCUGCCCAGCUGCCUACAUCUCAGAACCCCUCGCUGGCCUGGAUGCCCCACAGGGAACUCCCUCCUCAUGCUCCCAGGGAACCAGGAGAAUGCAGACAGGUGGCACCCGAACACGGAUCUGAAGUCAGAACACUGGGUCCCCUUCCCUUUGUCACCAGCCUGGGCCACACUACAGGCCACACAGCAAACCAGACAAUAGAAUCCCCCUGGGACGCCCGUCACAGGGUCUUCGAAGCCCACUAAGAUGACACUGUAGGGAUCCAGAUACCCUUCCUGCCCUGGGACCACAGCAGCUCAAGCCGCUCACUGGGGAGUGAUAGGCAGGGCCCGGGCAGAGCCAGGGCAGUGCCGAACUCCAUACCCCAAGGCCCCACAGAGUCCUGGGACCAUCUGACCUCUGCCUCCACAGGGAAGCCUCCUGCUCCUGGGCCUCUGGAUCAGAGCGUGAUGGGGAGGAUGUGGGCCCUGAGGCUCUGGCCAGCAGACACCAUGCCCUGCCUCGUCUCACAUACCUUUAUACAAGGUGCCCCCCCAAUAGGAAGAGUCCCUGACCCCGAGGGACCUAGGCUGGCCUCUUCCCGGGCUCUGGGGAGGCAGGGUGGACAUGACCCCACCCAGGCUCAGAACACAGACUGAUGGGUUGAGCCCCCGGUGGCCCUAACCAGUUCUGGAUUCUCCCCUAAGGAUGAGCAACCCUCUCAGAGCAGGAAGUGGCCUCCUGGGUCCUGGAUGUGCCCCACAGAUCCAGGUCACUGACCUAGGACAAUGCUGGGAAUUUCAGGACACCCCAGGACAGGGGCAGCAGGGGCAGGCCAGUGGGCCACACCCUCACCCACACUAGAAGGCAGGCUCCUCCACAUACUGGGUCUCCAGCAGUCAUUCACCUGGCACAGUGGGCCAGAGGCUGGGAUCCAGCUGACCUGCAGGGACUCAGCACAGGGACUCCUAAGCUGCAGGGACCCCUAAGCUGCAGGUCCAGGUCAGGUCUGCUGUCCUCAGAACUGCCUCUCAGGCCCCAACUUCGGGAAAUGUGCCCACACUUGGAGUCUGCCCAGGCUCCAAGCUGCGGGACUCUAGCACCUGCACCCCCAGGUGAGUUCGGGUUUCCCCUAAAAGACAGGAUGGUCCCCCUCCCCCAGAGAAGGUGCACACCCUAAGUUCAGAGCCCCUGUUUGUUAUGAAAGUUCAAUAAAGUGUUGAGAGUUAAAAUGCAUGGCCAGCCCAUUUCUGUGUCUCCCAGAGCUCUGUGCAAGCAGCGGGGACAGAACCCCAGAAAGGAGGAGGGGGCCUUACACAGGCCACUAUCAGCCUCUGCACAGUUGCUGCCAGGCACACAAAGCUGACCUGCCCCCGUGCCUUCCAAGGUCCGCCAAUGCCAGGGGAAGGCCAAACACAUGCUUAUUGGGACUCAGCCCAUGCC